GCCAUUCAGUGUUAAUUGAAAACACAUGGACACUUCCAGGAAACGAUCCUUGAUUACACUAGCCUGCAUGGCAGGCGGUACUUAGUUCCUUUGCCUCCCUACUUUUCGCUGCCUGUAGAAAUACCGCCUGCCGCGCAGGCUAUGAUUACACCUGUUGUGUGUUCUGAGUUAAAAAGAACGCUUAUAAUACAGAUAUUAGAAAGGCUCGUUUACACUUACAAUUUUUGCUGCGUUUCCAGUGUGAUUUCCUUCUUCUGAUGGAUGUGAACGAGUAGAUGCGCUAUGAAUGUUCGGAGUACAUGUACCCUCAUCUAAACAUUCAUACUCGACCACUCGUUCACAUCCAUCAGAAGAAGAAAUCGCAUCCAAAAUCACAGCAG